AUUUUCUAGUAAAAAUACAUUUAUAUAUGAUUUGUAGCCAAAUGAUAUAUUAUAUGUCAUAUUAUACAAACAUGGCAUGUAUAAGAUGUAUGAUUUUACAUAAUAUAGAUACUCCUCUACUUAUGAUAGGGUUAUGUCCAAAUAAAUCCAUUGUACAUUGAAGAUAUCAUCAGUUGAAAAAUGCAUUUGUUUAGUAGAUUUAACCUAGCAAGCAUGGGAGCUUAGCCACACAAUCUGCAGUCAAUUAGCAGUUACUUCCCUUCUUGAUCAUGUGGCUGACUGGGAGCUAUAGCUCAGGACUGCUGCCCAUCAUGAGAAAGUAUCAUCCUGCUUAUUGCUAGCCAGGAAAGGAUCAAAAUCCAAAUUCAAAGUAUGAUUUCUACUGAAUGCACAUCACUUUUGCAUCAUUGUAAAAUAAAAAAAAUAGACAUAAAUCAAACCAUUGUUAAUUGGGGACCAAAGUUUAUAAUAUAUAAUUUGUAUAUAUAAUUUGAUUAAAUAUUAUAUACUACUCACUCUACAAACAGAGACAGUAGGAAGGCCAUGUAGCAUGACUACUGGAACCAACUCUAUAUGUUUCAGAGCACAGGUCUGCCCCUUGCUAGCUAAUACAACUUUGGAUGCUUCACUUAAUUUUCUGAAGUCUUAUUUUUCUCAACCUUAUGGGGUGGGAAGAGAAUUAAUAUAUUUUGUAUGAAAUAAGGGAAUACAUACAAAAUACUUAGUGGGGUGGCUGGCACUUGCUAAGCAUAUAAUAGGUGGUAGAAAGACCAUGAAAGGGUGGUUAGCAGCAGCAGUAAGCAGCCUUGUAAGUGUCCAGAAAUCCCCUGGCUUGUCCCAAUUCUAGUGGUCACGUUACACUUUUUGUAAUAUGUAAUUUGGAUUUCAAAAGCAAAGCAUGGAUUUAAAAAUUCUAAAACAAGGAAAAAUGAUUUGAGGUUUUCAAACAAGCACUGGGUUGGUUAGUUUUUGAAUAGUCAGGGUGGUGGGACAUAAGAGAAUGUAAUAAUCAAUACAAGGAAGAGUUGUGAACACAUCAAUUUACUAUGUGGUUUGUGAUUACAGAGUCCUUAUAGGAUACUUUGUGUGGUGGGAGAAUACUUACUUAAAGUUACUCUUCAAUUUUAAAGAGUUCACAUAAGGGUCAAGAUGAACCAACAUGAGAGCCACAACCUUAAAACUUCCCAAACAUUAUUUGGCUGAGACCUUUUCAGCCAACAGAAUUCUGCACAUGACUUGCCUCAGUUUUUCUGUCUGUACCCCUAGAAAUGCUACUGAAGAUUUCUGAAACGUGUAUCAGGGGGAAAAGUUCUGCUUACUUUGAAUCUAAAAGUUGGUAGUCAGUUAGCAUUUGGGACUUCCCCCUCCAGGUAUUUAAGGAAGGAAAAUGGGCUUCAGGAAUCUUAGCAAAUACUUCAUCCAUAAAUAGGCCAUUAAGCACUUAGUGUUUCAUCUCACUAAGGAUAAACUUAAUAGUUGUGGAAAGAAAAAAAAACAAAUAAAAGGAAAAAUUUCUCAGGUUUAUUGAGAGAAGAUUUUUAUUUGGUAAAUUUAGGAAAGAGAAAGAUUAAGAAAUGCAUGUAUCAGGGUUCACAUUUGAUAAUAUUGUCAUCACUAAAUUUGUCUAGGGAGACAACAUGCCACAUUUAAAUGAUUACUGUGUACAGAGAUUUCAAAUUACUGUAUAUAAAUUUAAACCUCUGUGUUUACACAUGUGUGCCAAACAGCUUUUUUUUUAACGUUGCCAUAUAUAGCAUUCUGAUAUUUCUUUGCAUAAGGUUCUCAAAAUACUAAAGCAACCCCAGCCCUAAAUUACCCUUCCUUUUAAAGGAGAUAUCAUUAACUUUCUUGGUGAUGGGGAGCUAGAUCAGGUGAGUGGCAUGCCUUACAUUCAUAAAGUCAAUGGCAUCAUUGUUGCAAAAAUAUGUAGAAAGUAGAGCUCCAAUUCCAUGAAGUUCAAAAAUACCCUGGUGUAAUGGGUACAUCUCAUAAUACUGAAAGGCAAAUGGGAGAUGCUUUAGUUGAACAACUAUAAAUCCUGAGUCUUUGAGGUAGAUUAGAAACACAUUUUCUGUGUAUCAAAGAAGGCAGUAUAAAAGAGAAAAUAAUUCUGUCCUUACCUAGCAUAUGCUGCAUGCUAUUUGCCAGUAUAGAUUAUACCCUCAUCCCUGAAGGAUAUUUUUACUAGAUAUAGAAUUCUAGGCUGACAGAUUCUUUUCUUUUUUCUCUUUAAAGAAAUUCUUUCUCUGUAUGUGGCCCUUGCUGUUUUUGUUGAGAAAUCUAUAGUCACUUAAAGGGUUGUUCCUCUGUAAAACUAUAACCUUUUUACCUGACUUUUUACAACAUUUUUUUGUUUGUUUUUGUCUGUUUAUUUUGACAGAUCUAGGUUUUUGUGUAUAUGGGGUUUGGGGAGUUAUUUGUUCUAUUUGUGUUUUUUUGACUUUUUGCAACUGUAAAUUUAUCUUUUUGCCAAAUUUGAUAAAAUUUUGGCCACUACUAUUUCCAUGUUUUGUUGUUGUUGUCAUUGUUCUAUUUUUACCUUUCUCUGUCUCUCUUCUGUCUCUGGACUUCAGUUAUAACCAAGUUGUACCGUUUGAAAAUACCCACAAGUCUCUGAGCUUCUUCUCCCCCAAACCCUGCAAUCAUUUUUCUCUCCAUUCUUCAGAUUAGAUCAUUUCUGUUGCUCUAUCUUCAUGUUUACUAACUCUUAUGCUUCUUCAAGUCGACUAUUAACUUCAUCCAGUAAAAUUUAACAUUUUAAGUGUUGAAUUUUUCAGGUCAAAAAUUUCUCCUUGGGCUGGGGAUGUGGCUCAAGUGGUAGUGCGCUCGCCUGGCA
rnacentral:lncRNA from 1 species